rnacentral:misc_RNA from 1 species
AAAAGAGAGAAUCGAGAGAGAGAAACAAAGAGAAAAAACGAUUUUCUUUUUUUAAUUUUCCGUUUCCCCAAAUCUUCACGAAGCCCUAUGAAAAGCUUCCACACAAAUGGAUUUCUAGGGUUGGUAUCGAUUCCAAAUUACAAUUUCAUUCGCAACUCGAACCGAUUCAGCUCGGCGAUAACCCGGUGAGUUCGCCGAGUUACUGCUCAGUCUCAAUGAUUUUCUUUCCACAGUCCAAACGCCAACGAGAUCUGUAAAUCCCCAUAUGCUUUAAAUUCAGAUAUAUUACCUCUACGUGAAGUUUAUAGAUAAGGAUAUCAGUAUUCGGGCGUAAAAAUUGUUCUUGUCAUGCAAUUGAAAUCGGCCUCGGAUUCUUCACAGAAGCGAAGGGAUUUUAGCCCGAGAGGAACUAGGCUUCGAAAGAAGCAUAAGAGACUCGAUGCCAUAUGCGAAAACGUUUAUAAUCAAAAUCAUAGUGAAUCCAACGAGGGAAGAGGAGAGUCCACCCAGGAUGCUAAUUUGGAGCUGCGUCGCAGCUCACGAGUGCGGCGGUCACCGGUUGUGCUCGAUGUCUCACCUCCUCCUGUCAAAAAGCGCAGGAAGAUUGGUAAGAAUGUCAAUUUGAGUGUUAAUAGAAAUGGUGGUAGUGUUAGUCUAGGGAGUGUUAAAAGGGAAGAUAGUGAGAGAUUAGAGGAUUUGGAUACUCCAGGGAGUUGGAGAUCGCGGUUGAGAUCAAGGGGUAGGAAUGUGGCGACUAGAGAGAGAGGCGAGACAAGUGGGAGAAGGAAGCUUUUUGAUGAAAUAGAGACGACGGAAAGUGAAUUGGCUGGGAAUAAAGGAUAUUUGGAUGGUGAGAAGAUGAUGGUUGUGAGAUCAAAGAGGCCAGGAAGGGUAAAGGCAGUAAAUGGUUUGGGGAAUGAAAUGAAAGCGGGUGGAACAUGUGGUCUUGAGGAUGUGAAUGAGAAGGAUGAGGGUAAAGAGUGUAUAAGGAAUGAUGAGAGUGAGAAGGAUGAGAUUCAGGUGGUAGAGAAUGAGGCCAAGGAGGGCAUGCCAGUUUUAGGUAGUGAAAUAGGCAGUGGAAAUGAUGGGGAGGUAGGGGGGAAUGAUGCUGAUGAGAGUAUGGAAGUUUCAGUUGCUGCAAUGGGUGGUGGAAAUGAGGUGGAGGUAGUGGAUGAUGGUUCUGAACUGUUAGGAUCAGAUGAAGUGAAUGAACAAGAGCAGAAAGAGAAAUUGCAUGAUUUGGAAUUGAAGAAGACCCCGGAUGGACAUGAUAAUGUGGAAUAUGUAGAGCAGAGUGACAAAGCGGAGGAUUUGGAGAAUGGGAUGGAUUUGAAAAAUGAAAGAGAAGUUGUUGAAGUUGAUGGGGCACUGGUAAAUGAGGUGGAGGAUCCUGAUGAGGAAGGACAUGCUGAGGUUAAUGAAAUUCCCUUGGAAGUUGAGAAAGAUGCGAAGGCAGACAAAUUGAAUCAUGAUUUGCAUACUCUUGAUAGGCCACGGAUUAAACAGGGGAGACGGUGUGGUUUGUGUGGAUGUGGUAAUAAUGAUGGUAAGCCACCUAAGAGGUUGGUUCAAGAUGCUGGUGAAAGUGAACAUGAGACAUACAGUGGCUCAUCAGCGUCAGAGGAGCCCAACUAUGAUGUCUGGGAUGGAUUCGGUGAUGAACCAGGGUGGCUUGGACGCCUAUUGGGUCCUAUAAAUGACCGAUAUGGUAUUGCUGGAAUUUGGGUUCAUCAACACUGUGCUGUAUGGAGUCCAGAGGUUUAUUUUGCUGGUUUAGGUCGCUUAAAAAAUGUAAGGGCUGCACUUUGCAGAGGAAGAGCAUUAAAAUGCACACGCUGUGGAAGACCAGGCGCAACUAUCGGAUGUCGUGUUGAUCGAUGUCCAAAAACUUAUCACUUGCCUUGUGCUCGAGCUAAUGGCUGCAUCUUUGAUCAUCGUAAAUUUCUUAUAGCAUGCACAGAUCAUCGACAUCUCUUCCAGCCUCAUGGUAAUCAAUAUUUAAUGCGGAUAAAGAAAUUGAAGGCCAGGAAAAUGAGGUUAGAAAUGAGGAAGCUAUCAAAUGAUGCUUGGCGAAAGGAUGUUGAAGCUGAAGAAAAAUGGUUGGAGAACUGUGGGGAGGAUGAAGAGUUUUUGAAACGUGAGAGCAAGAGGCUUCAUCGAGAUUUGUUGAGAAUUGCACCUGUGUACAUUGGAGGCUCUGAGUCUGAGAGUGGAAAACUAUUUGAGGGAUGGGAAUCUGUUGCUGGGCUAAAGCACGUGAUACAGUGUAUGAAGGAAGUAGUUAUUUUACCACUUCUAUAUCCUGAGUUUUUUAGUAAUCUAGGAAUGACACCUCCUAGGGGUGUUCUUUUGCAUGGGCAUCCUGGAACAGGUAAAACACUUGUUGUGCGAGCAUUGAUUGGUUCAUGUGCACGUGGUGACAAACGGAUUGCAUAUUUUGCUCGUAAAGGUGCAGACUGCUUAGGAAAGUAUGUUGGUGACGCUGAGCGCCAGCUUAGACUCUUGUUUCAGGUUGCUGAGAGAUGUCAACCUUCUAUAAUAUUCUUUGAUGAGAUAGAUGGUUUAGCCCCUUGUCGUACAAGGCAGCAAGAUCAGACUCACAGUUCAGUUGUCUCCACAUUGCUUGCUUUAUUGGAUGGUUUAAAAUCCCGAGGUUCAGUGGUGGUGAUAGGUGCAACAAAUCGACCUGAGGCUGUUGAUCCAGCAUUGCGUAGACCUGGGAGAUUUGACAGGGAGAUUUAUUUUCCAUUGCCAUCAGUUGAGGACAGGGCUGCCAUACUUUCACUUCACACACAGAGGUGGCCAAAACCAGUUACUGGAUCUUUGCUGCAGUGGGUUGCAAGAAGAACUGUUGGCUUUGCUGGUGCUGAUCUGCAGGCUCUUUGUACUCAAGCUGCCAUAAUUGCACUGAAGAGAAAUUUCCCUUUGCAAGAAAUUUUAUCUGCUGCUGGAGAGAAAGCUCCUGGUGCUAAACGUGUUCCUCUUCCAGAUUUUGCAGUUGAAGAGAGAGACUGGUUAGAGGCCUUAGCAUGUGCCUCACCUCCCUGCUCUCGUAGAGAAGCUGGAAUAGCUGCUCAUGAUUUGGUGUCUUCUCCUCUUCCUACCCACCUUAUUCCUUGUUUAUUGCAGCCAUUAUCCCAGUUGCUUGUUUCUCUCUAUCUUGAUGAACGGCUCUGGUUGCCUCCACCCCUUUCUGAAGCUGCUGUGAUGGUUAAAAGAGUGAUAAUUUCUUCUUUAGCGAUGAAGAAUCUCCCUACUAAUCAGUGGUGGUCUCAUGUUGAUAAUUUACUUCAAGAAGCAGAACUUGCCAAGGAAAUACAGAAAAGGCUUUCAUCUACUGGAAUAUUAAGUGGAGAGGGCACCUAUUCUGGUGUUGAUGCCUUUGCUGAUGAAAAUGAUGAUGAUAGAGUGAUGCUUAAACCUUCAGUGGUGUGUAACAGGGGUAUGAGCAUUGGUUUGUCUGGAAGUUUAUCUUUUGCAUCAUUAAAGAAACCAGGAUACCGGGUAUUGUUUGCUGGGAGUCCUAGAUCUGGGCAGAGACAAUUGGCUUCUUGCAUACUUCAUUGCUAUCUUGGGAAUGCAGAAGUUCAGAAGGUUGAUCUGGCUACAAUUUCACAAGAAGGGCACGGGGAUAUGGUCCAAGGGAUUACACAGAUAUUGAUGAAAUGUGCUAGCUUGGAGUCAUUCGUGAUUUUCAUGCCAAGAAUUGAUUUGUGGGCUGUGGAAUCAUGUCAGCAAGUUACUGAGGAGAGUGAUGCAUCUUCAACAGACCAUCAACUUUCUGAGGAAACAGAAUUUUGUUCCACACCAAUUCAAGUUGUUGGAAAGGAAAAUGAAUCCAUUGCACAUCAAUGCAGUGAAUCUGAAAUGCCACAGCCACAAGAUGCUACCCCGUGCACCUCACAUGCCUGGAGCUCAUUUGUUGAGCAGGUGGAGUCUAUACGCGUGUCAACAUCCUUGAUCAUUCUGGCUACUUCAGAACUUCCAUAUCUGAAACUCCCACAUAGAAUAAGGGAAUUCUUUAAGAGUGGUAUCUCAAAUAGCAGUCAGUUGACUCCUUUGGAGCACACGGUGCCCCGAUUCUUGGUUCAUACUGGUGGGAAUUUCAAUCGUGAUGUGGUGGCCAGUCUUUCUGCGGCAAAGUUAUUGAGGGAUAUAAUACAACUCUUUGUUCUGUUGGUUCAUCAAAGGGUGCAUAUGCAUAUUGGUUCAUCCAGACAGUAUAAAUUUUGUGAUUCUAUUGAAGGAUCUCUUGAUACAGAAUAUCACAAUAAAAAUCAUGGCUCAGCUGGUGAAAAUGAGUGUAGAGAAGAAUUUCUUUAUGAACAUUUAAAAGUUCCACCACCUCCCAAUAAUAGAAGUUUAAAAGGAAAAUCAAGCUUGCUAUUAGCAAUAUCUACAUUUGGACAUCAAAUUCUUCGAUAUCCCCAUUUUGCUGAACUUUGUUGGGUCACAUCAAAACUGAAAGAAGGUCCUUGUGCAGAUGUUAGUGGACCUUGGAAGGGCUGGCCUUUCAAUUCUUGCAUUAUUCGUCCUGGUAACAUGGAUUCUGUGACAUUUUCUUCAGGGAAUGUUAAAAGCAAAGAGAGAUCUGGUUUAGUCAGAGGCUUAGUUGCUAUUGGCUUAUCAGCAUACAGAGGUGUGUACAAAUCACUCAGAGAGGUCUCCUUUGAGGUAAGGAAAGUCCUUGAGCUUUUAGUUGGACAAGUGAAUGAAAAGAUUCAGGCUGGGAAAGACAAAUAUCAGUAUGUUCGUCUCUUAUCGCAAGUAGCGUAUCUGGAAGAUAUGGUCAACAACUGGGCACAUGCAUUGCAAAGUUUAGAACUUGACACUCAAAUCACUGUGGCGAAUGCUAGGCAAAGUACCGUGGAAUUUCUAGGUAACCAUUCUUGUGAGGAUCAUUUAGCUCAAAGUGAAGAAUGCAAGGAAGGCUUACCAAAUAAAAGCUCCCAUGAAUCUGAAUGCCUGGCAGGAAGUCCUAUGGAAUUUGUUCCUGAAAAUGAAGGUGUUGAAUUGAACAAAGGAGACAAUGGUUUUUGUCAUUCUAGCUCUGAGGUGAUAGAUGUUCUCUCAGAAGACAUAUCCGCACAGCGGAUUGUCCUUUGUGGCCAUAACAACUCAGAUAAGCAGCUUCAAAGUUCUACAUCUGAUAACCAGUUGGUUGAUAAUGAUACAGAUGAGCAGAAUGAGACUGCUCUUGGACAGUGUGAGCCAGAAAAUACUGAAACUCUUGCAGUUGUUACUGGAUUGGACAAUGGGUCAUCAAAACAUUCUAAUGGAUUUGUGGUUACAGAAGCUGUUCUUCCCUCUGAGAAUGGUCUCUUUAAUUCAGGUAAACCAUGUGCUGAUAAAUUCUCUGGCUCCUUAAUAUCCAGUGACCAGGUCAAUAGAUUGGCUGCAAUGGAGGGUGCAAUUAGAUGUGAGGAUGCUCUGCCUGACUUCAGUGACCAUAUUGGGAAUGUCAACUUAUCUCCUGGCAAAUAUACUAAUACCAGUCAUUCUGCUGAUUCUGGUGUUGUGUGUUCAUAUAUUUGUUGUUCUGGAUGCCUAUGCACCCUCCAUGGACUGAUUCAGAAAAUUCUUGUUCGGGAAUGGGGAUUAAACAAUAGCUAUUGGGUGGCAGAGGAUGUUCAUGAUAUUGUUUCAUCAUUGUCUGUAGAUCUUCUUUCAGCAGUUAGGAAAGUUGAUAUGGCUGAAAAUAUCAACAAUUCAUUUGAUGAGAACCUGAGAUGUGGUAAUGCUGAAAGAUUGUCUGAAUGUCCAGAACUGCGUAAUUGUCAUUGCAAAAGUUCAGGAAAUAGUUUAGCUUUGGCAACGGAAUGUAGUUGCCACUCAGUGGAUGGAUGUUUAACUGAAAAAGGAAGUAACUCGCCAAAUUCACAGUUCGGGCUUGAACUGGAAUUUAUUUUCAGAGAUGGCAUCCUGGUACCUGUGGAUUCUAACAAAGAUGUUUCUUUCCAUUGUAAAUACAAGACUUUAUGCCUUUGUUCUCUUAUAAAGUCAGUAGUAAUGAUGAAGCAGCCUUUUGAUUGAUAUGAUAUUUUCACAGCAUGGAUUGCCUAGCAAUGGCAUCAUAUGGUGUUUUUGCGAAUUUAGGUGUAAAUUUUCAUUUAAGAGGUAUAAAGGAUCAAAUUUUUUGGGCAGUUCCAAUUUAUGGGUGUUUAAUUGCUUUCCAUGGUCAGCCGUUCAGGAGAAAUGCUUUCUAUGGAGGACAGUUCAGUCUACUUUUCUUCUGCUCUCAAAAAGAUUUUGACGCAGGAAGAAGCUAAGAAAGAAACUUGUGCCAUGUGAAUACAACAUAUACUGAGGUCAGUUCCUAGUUGAUUUCGUAUAAGAUGAUAAGUGAUUGUUGCUUUCUGUUUUUUCUGCAUAUAUAGCUUUAUGUUGGUUCCCAAGACAAUUGCGUCAAGCAAUUAGGAAUAUGAAUCUAUAGACAGUUUAUUAUUUUUGGUUUUGAUUUGCUAGAAUAAGCUUUUUGGCCAAUUUGAAGGAUUAGAGUGAAAAUCUUAUAACAAGAAAUUAAAAUAUAUUAACAGGCAGUAAGGACCAAA